ensembl:snRNA LOC120099045 U6 spliceosomal RNA
GGGCUCGCUUCGGCAGCACAUAUACUGAAAUUGGAACAAUAAGGAGACGAUUAGCAUGGCCCCUCCAAAGGUUGACACUCAAAUUCGUGAAGCAUUCCAUAUAUUU